rnacentral:lncRNA from 1 species
CUAGUUUCGCCGGACGGCGCCCGUCAGCUCCUCCUGGCGGUUGGGCCCAGCGGGCGUGAGCGGCGGCUGGGGACCGGCGGGCCGGGGACAGGGGCAGAGCGGGACGGCUCUCGUAGGCCGAGGUGCGGCCUUCAGAGGUGCGCGGCGGCGUCACGGCUCGUUCCUCCUGCCCGGGCUUGGGCAGUGCUCAGCAGCGCCAUCUGAUCGGCUUUCGUGCCGGAUGGAGCCAGGGGUUGGACUCAGUGCCUCGACGUGUGGGGACACUGUAAACUCGGCUGUUGAGCGAUUCUGUCAUUCGACUGACCCACUUGUUCCCUUCCGCUUCAGAAACGCCGCCAGCCGGUGGUCACCCGGCCGACGGAGUUCUGCUCUGUCACCGUGUUCGUGCAUGCUCAGGAGAGCACCUCCACUCAAUAUACCCGAAUGCAAACACGUGGCUGCUGGGCUCCUUCGGUUUAGGUCACUGAACGCUCUUAAAAAGCAUGGCUGUGUGCUGGCUGCUUUGUAGAAACGUCCACCUUCAGGUCAGUGCUACUGAAGGGACCUGACAGGUAACACUGAAAGGAGCUGCGAGGAGAGGAAUGGCACGAACUCAGGACUAAAACUGAAAUUAAGCUAAGCUAAGGAUACUGAGCCACAUCCUUACUUUAAACAGCUGGGGACAUCUGCACAGACUUGGGAUGUCUAGAACCUGGCAUGAUCUGCAUAGCUCUGCAACAUUUCUGACUGUUGGUGGUUUCUGAGUGAAGCUGAGCACACUUAUCUUGGAACAGCUCGCAACUGGUAUGGGUGUGGACUGUUUGUAAAAGCAAAGUGACUGUCCUCUCGUGGCCUGGGCUGAUCUUCAGGGAACACAAAGGUGAACUUCUGCAUGAGAGUGGUGAAGAAGAUGAAAAGCUCCAUCCUGGUCAGCUGUUCCCCCAGGCAGGCACGUCGACCUGCAAGAAGGAAUGUUCAUGAGAGAGGACACAUAACCAUGCUGAAAUCACUGUGAGAUGAACACCCUUUGUGUGUAGACAAAGGAUGGAGCAAAACACAAUCAGAAGCCUCCUUGCUCUGGAUGGAGAGAAGGAAGAAAGUGAGACUGCUUUGUUAACCAUGUCAAAAAGGCUGAGACUCACAGUGAAUUAGUUAGAUGGUGCAUCACGUCUCUCAGGCACAGUCACAGAAUAAUUAAGGUUGAAAGGGUCCCCUGCAGGUCUUACUCCCUGCUCAAAUGCAAAGAUGAGGAAAAGGACAACCCUUGGACUUCUACUUCCCAGAAGGCAGACCACCACUCUUGCUGUGCACCAGACUUACAGCUAGGUCCUCCCCUUAGAUUUACCUGCAGAGAAGGGCAAGAAGGCCUCUGGUCUCACAAAUUGCCCAUUCUCAUUCAGAAAGUGUUCAGGGUAAAAUUCAUUUGGCUUCUUCCAGGCCGUCUCAUCCUUAAGUACUGAAGUCAAGUUGGUGAUGAUUGUCGUCCCCUGCACUCAUUCACAAGAGGAAACAACUUAUGUGAGAACCACAGAAUUAUCUUAGCAUGACAGAUAAGUGCUGGUCCCUCUUCAGUCAGUCUCUCCCACCUAAUGCAGUCAUUAUUAGGUGCUUCAGAAUAAGGCACCAAGCUCUUCUUGAUCUUACUGAAAACAGAGGUGAAGCAGUCGCACUUUUCCAGUAACACAUGCUGCCUGCCUAUGCUCACACAGCGUUGGUAAUUUUGUAUUCUUACAAAGGCUGCUCCAUGCAAAUGCCAAUUUCAUGGUUACAGAGUGCAAACAGCCUCUGCUUCUUAGAUCCCCCUGGACUUAUUUUAUAGCUGGAAAGAAAAAGCUAACAGACUUCAAAGCCCAACCUUUGCAUGGGAUAUGGAAAACCUCAAAGCUUAUAUUUUAAACUUCAGGGAAUCAUUGCAUGACUUAAAAAACAUCUCAGGCCUGCAUUACAGCCAGCACUGCCAGGGGAGAGAGCUCCUGAGAUGCCUCUGCAGUUGAUUCCGGCAUAAGCAGUGUAUACCAGAGUGCAAGUGGGACCAUCUGUGUAAUCUUAGUAUUUCAAAAUUCCUGCUUCAGUGUUCACCACGACUGUGCUUUGAGGCAGGAGGGACAAAGCUGCAGAGUUGUGUGGGGUCACACCAGGCCUGGACUCUUCCUGGAGCAAUGUUGCUGCAUUGGCUGUCCUGGCACACUCACUUUGGGAAUGAAGAAACCUUGAAGCUCAGUGUCCCGGUAUGUCAUGUGAGGUAGUCCCAUAGGAACAACGUCCCCAAAGCGUUGUACUUCAUGGAUGACGGCAUUGGUGUAGGGCAUGUUCACUUGGUCUGCCAUGGUGGGCGGUCGGUUUCUUCCAAUCACCUUAUCAAUCUCUUUGUGGACUUUACCUAGAAGCAGCACAGCUUAGGAAUUAGAGCUUCCGUAGAUAAUCAGAAGGGGCUGAUACAAGGUAUGGGAAAGCUGUCAGCAUGAGCUCAGCAGGCACUGGGCAAGAGCAAGACAAGCAAUUAUAGAAAGGGGCAGAAACUAUGGGAAUACACUUUUUCAGUUGCUCAGAAGGAUCUCUAUAAUUUUGGCUGUGCACAGCGCCUUUAAUAAAAUUCAUUUGACAUGCUGCCUUACCCCUCCUCAAUGUGACUGAAAGUGUACUUGUGCAUGUAGCAUUUGAGAAUUAAAACAGUUUAGGGUGUGUUCCAAAUACAGGAAGGAGGGCACCAUGGCCACUGAAAGUCCCCCAGCAGCCUUCAUUGCGUGGGAACCUGAACAUGGCCUUCCAACUCCAGUCUUUUCAUCAGAUUCCCCACAGCUCUUACUAAGCUGUGCCAGAACAGCUGUGUUUGGGGAAGCGUUUCACCUGGUUUCUCCCAGACCAACAAUUCCCAAAGCUGUUUCUUAUUGCAGAAAGCCCAAAAUACGGAGAGAUGUGCAGUGUCCUUGCCAUGAAAUGAGUGUUCAGAGGAGCAUACCACACCUGUACUUGUCCUCUCACUUACUUUGUAUUUCUGGGUACAAAAGCAUGAACAGGAACGCCCAUCGGAGGGUGGUGGCGGUGGUCUCAGAACCAGCUACAAGUAAGUCUGCGGUCACCAGAGUAAGGUUGCUUUUAUUGAAACCAUUCUCUUCAGCCUCCUUACCCUGCGGAGAGCAAACAAGUGUGUGACAGGAGCAAAGACGCUUUCUUGAGUGAGAAGACUUUCUUUCAGAGAAAUACUGAGAAGCAGUAGAUCCAUUUUUGCCGACCAGGAAGUUCAUUGGCAGAGUAGAGUACAACACAAGCUGUGGUCUGUGUAUGACUGAUGUGCUUAAAUCAUGCCGUUACCACUAUACUCCUGUAUGCCAGUGUGAAAGGUGAAAGUUACACCUGCUUUCAUAGUGAAUGCCUUAUGCUCUCAACUCAGCAGGCCACUGCCACAUACUGUGACAUCCUCCCCCAGAGGAGGUGCAACUCUGCUACACAGACUGAACAGAUCUGAAAACCCACACAGCAGCGAGGAGGCCGCACUGAUGUGGCAAAUUCAAAUCAGCAGUAUUUUGAGGGGGCUAUCUAUCUAUGCAUUACAGAUUCUCACUGUUUUGCCCUGGUAUUUUGUUGCAAUUGUGGGGGGGGAAAAAAAAAAAGGUCUCAGGGUAUCAUUGCUACCUAUUACAUCUGCGACACCAAUCUCCGCAAAACUGGUCUCUCAUCCAAAUGCUAUUUGAGCUCAGAUUUGAGCUAGCAUAUGAGAUCUGACAAGCUCUCUGUAUGAGUUCAUCUGCUUGUCUUUUCUAAUCCCUUUUAUACUUUUCUUUCCUAGGGACUAGUGUCUGCUAACUUAUUCUGCAUAUUUUGAUGCUGUCUUACUAUGGAUAGCAGUUAAUGAGGUACCUCUGACUCAGCUUUGAUUCAAACAAAAAAUCUCUGGCAAGGAAGCAGAGGGACUGGCCUGACCAAAGUUAGCACCAGCAGAGGGAUUUUUCAGUCUGGCUUUUUAGGGGACCUUAGGUAAGCAGCAGAGAGAUGUGACAAGAGGGGAUGUGGUCAGGCUCAGAUCCACCCCUUAAAGGCCUGCAAAGUGAUGUAGGCUGAAAAGAGAGCUGCCAGACACUGAGAGGAAAAAGGGUGGAAGAUGGGGAUGGGAACAGUGGAUUAUAUGAUCUCUGAGGAUAAUCAAGGAGGGCACAGCAUGAAGAUCUGAACACCUCAUUUCUAAAGUAUGACAUGGAAUGAAGAGGUAGGAAAUUCAUAACAGUCUUUAUAGAACUUUAUAAGCGAAGCCAGCUUCUAUCAACAAGUUUAAAGAAGUAGAGGAACUGCCCCAGGACUCUGAGGUUCUGCUGUUCUCUCCCUACCUUUGCCAUUUCCUUUAAAAAUGCAUCAGUGAAGUCUCGGAUGUAAGCAGGGUUCCAGGUCUCCUUGUGCUUAUCUAUGAGCAUUUGUGUGAAGUCUACGUAUGCCUUUUGGCACGGAAAGAUCUUCUGUGGCAGUCCAGGGAUGCGCAACAAAACAGGUGCCACAUUAAGAAGCUGGUAGGCAAGAACCAUACAGAAAGAGACAAAGUAUUAUGUGAUGCAAAAAUUAAAAUAAUGGAAACACAGUGCUCUCAAGUGAAGAGGGCAGUGUCUCACAGAACAGAAUAUGCUUCUGUAUUACCUGAGGCAGGAAUCCAGCUUCUUCAUUUAGAGAGUUUUCAAACAAAGUUAACAGCUUCUUGAAUGUCUUGUCUCCAUAGUCGAAACGCUCUCCAUAGGUAAUGGUGCAGAUCACAUUGCAGACUGCAUUAUUUACAAGAAAACGUGGAUCAAAAGGAUGACCUAAAAAUGGAAAUGGAUAUCAAGAAAAGAGGCUAAGCAACAUCGCGUUGUGGUGCUGCAGCUUCCAGCAACAAGAAUAUGCACAUACCUCUUUGUUGCUUUCAAGAGAAAAAGCCCCCAAAGUGCUGAAAUUAGAAAUACUUCAUAGUAGGAAUAGAACAUCUUCUCAUCUCCUACUAUGGUUCAACUGGUCAUUGUUUAAAGAAGAAAAGUCCCCAAGAAAAUCUGACUUACAGGGUUGUUUUGUCACAUGACAGCACUUCUUCUUGUGUCUAAUGAUAGUUGAUGCGGUGUGAAAGCUGUCAGAUUCAUUUUGCCAUAUAUGAUGAUAGUGAUUUCAUGGAAUCAUAGAAUGGUUUGGGUAGGAAAUUACCUCAAAGCCCACUGAGUCCCAACUCCAGCUGUUACGAGGGCUGCCACCCACCACUUGGGCUGCCCAGGGCCCCAUCCACUUUGGCCUUGAGUGCCUCCAGAGACACAGCUUCUCCGGGCAGCCUGUUUCAGUGCCUCACUACUCUCUGAGUAAAGAAUUUCCUCCUCUCCCCUCUUUCAUUUUAAAACUGUUCCCCAUGUCGUUUCGCCAUCAAAUCAUGUUAAAAAUCAAUCUCCUUCCUGAUUGUAAGUUCCCCUCAAAUACUGGUAUGCUGCAAUGAGGUAUUCCUGAAGCCUUCUCCUCUGUGGGCUGAACAAGCCCAGCUCCCUCAGCCUGUCUUUGUAGGAGCGGUGCUCCAGCCCUGUGAACAUCCUCAUGGCCUCUUCUGGAUCUG